GUAAGCUACUAAGAGCAAAUGGUGGAUGCCUUGGCUAGUAGAGGCGAUGAAAGACGUGCCAGGCUGCGAUAAGUCUCGGGGAGCCGUCAAGGGGCUUUGAUCCGGGAAUUUCUGAAUGGGGCAACCCAGUAUAUAGUGAUAUAUACUACCGCAAUGCGGAGCUAACGUUGGGAAUUGAAACAUCUUAGUACCAACAGGAAAAGAAAU
rnacentral:rRNA from 1 species